AACAGAAAUGACUGCUGGAGCACACUAAGAGAUAAAACUAUAAUCCAAGUAACAAGAAGUAAUAUCUUCCAUCGUAAAACGCGUACUGCAAGGAAUUCCAAAUUUAGUCCAUUUAUAGAUUUCAGGCUUUCACAGGAAAUGAUACCAGGGACGAAUCAAGAGUUUGUAGUAUCACCACAAGUGGAGCUGAGCUUAGACCACAUGCAUGAAACUACAGAGUUCUUUUCACAGGAGACAACUGUUCCAAAAAUAUCAGCGGACUUUGAAGUUAAUCGGCCAGAAUCGGUACUCGGAGGGUGCCCGGCUCGAGAACUCCCUAUUCGCUGUGUUUCCCGCUCAGACAGUUACUCGGCCUGUCGGGUAACCGGGGCACAACUGUUAACUGGGAUGCCGGUUUGGCCUACUAAAGCCCAAAAUUUCCAGCCCGUGCACAUCUCCAGCCGCCCCACGUCUUAGACUUGGAGGAAAUUGGAGCUGCCGCUCAUCCUCCUCUUCUCGCCCACUCACGAUUCGAGCAGCUGCCGGCCAGUUCCUCGUCCCCGGCAAGCAGAGCACAGACUCGGCCCUGACCAGAUCCUUGUCCCCCUAAUGAGCGCACCAACCUUCAGCAGCUUAAGCUCGCCGCCGCCACCCGAGCAGCCGUCAGCGCUGCACUGUCUCCGCCGGCUCCCCUCACCCUUGGAUGAUAUGGUCUCUGCUGCAGUUCUGCGGCUGCCUCCCGAAGCCGCUGAAGGCCGCCUUCGCUUCCACCGCUGCACUGUCCAUGGCGUCCAACAGCAAUGAAGAAAGGAAGAAACAAGUGAAGCAUGUUUCGAACUUCAAGGGUCCAUGAUUGAAGAGUUGUUCCGGGAGAUAGAAUGCUGACGCACGGAAUCUCUACAUGUCACGGCCCAAAUUUCUCCAAAUUUGGAUGUGCAUUUAGAAACAUUGCAUUGAUAGCGAUAUUCUCUAGAGGCAAUAAUGUGAUGACCAUGAUGCAUUCAUGAGUUAUUUAUAUUGUCCUUGAAGAUAAUCAAUGGUAUGUAUCAAUAAGUAUGUGACUUAUUUGUGAAACUAUAUAUUGUAUGAUGAUUGUUCUAAUGGUCCCUAGUAGUUAAUAAGGUUAUGAAGACACAUACCCUUUGAUUAUUAUAUGAUUUGGUUGAUGACUA